rnacentral:lncRNA from 1 species
CAGUUUUGUCCCUUCUUUCUCCCAACCCCAACUGAUCUCCAUAACAUACAAGCUCUGCCCACAGAUUGCAAAUUCCAUAAAUAACAUCAGGUAUGCAAGCAAGGAUUUUCUUUUCCCAUGUUUACUAAGUUAGCAGAGAUUGUAUUACUAAUUAUCUUUUCACCUUUUUUCCCAGUGUAAGAUCUUUGAAGCUGAGGAUGAAGCAUAGCAAGCAACGGUCAGAAAUCUGCACAAAAAUUUUCUGCAGUUAGAAAUUUGUUGCAUCUAAAGGUACUUAAAUUUACUGCUUUAAGCUGCCAAGUAGCUACUGCUGUGUGAUGUAGUUGGUGCCAUGAACCCUAGACAACAUGCCCUAUUUAGUUUGAUUUAACAAGACACAGUUUAGUUAUAUGGUUAGCGGAGGAUUGAUGUCUGAAAUUACUAUGGAGUUGUACUUUUCAUUUGUUGUCUGGGUGUGCUUGGAAGUGACUCCUCAACUUGACACUAAUUUGAACUGUCAACUGUGUUUGGAUAGAUAGACAGUACUGUACCUGAAGAUGGUGAUGGCAUCAAAACCCCACUUUGGAUUGCUUGAUUGUCGUAGGAAUAAUUUCCUGAAUCUAGUCGAAAAUAUCAAACUACAUAUAUCAAGUCCAUAACCAAUUGAAAUCUACAAGCUCACUGCACAUAUGGCCUGAAAUCAAGUCUCUCUCUCUCUCUCCACCUCUCUUAAAUUCAGAAUUUUUUAAAGAAAAAUAUGACCUUUUCAGACCAACCAAACAACAAGGUUUUCUUCAUGUCAGAGCAUUGUCUCAGGCUGAAAUGAACCGUGACAGGAAACAUGAGACUUAUAAUUGAUGUCCUAUAUUAAUUUCUACAUACAAUAAUACUACCAGUGCAAAACAUCAAAUUGCAUUCUAGCCAUCUGAUCAAUGCAAAACUAAGAGAAGGAAUUAAUUAUUUCUUUUAUUUCAGAGAAAAUUAGAAGAGCACAGUUCAUAUUACUACCACGAAGAUGUUCCUAGUCUAAAUUGCUCAAUUAAGCUGGCUAAGGUAAAUACGAUUAUUCAAGUGGUAAUUUUUUGUGUUUGCCUAAUCAAAACCCUUAGGCAUUCCUAAAACAUGGCUGCUAAGGAUAUGAUUUGUUAAACAUAAACAAGCAAUUUAUUGAAAUAUAUUAUUGUGAAUCUAAAAAUCUCAUUAAUGACCGCCGGACUUCCUCUAUCUAGGGCGAGGCCGGGUCCAAGAGAAGGAUGCUAGCCCAAAGCCCAUCAAGCUUUCCUUAAGCAGACCGACCCAGUAUCUCAAGCCCUGAUCCGAACAUGCGGGGCAGGCUAAGCUCAUCAUAAACCCGGGACCAACGAGAAGUAAUCUAGCCCAAUGAUGUGACGUGAAGGAGAAUAGUUGGCCCAGUCACUUCGCAGCCUGUCCGCAUGCGUGCUGGAAAAAUUAAAUGCGGAGAAAUUAAAUGGCCGCCUAACGUAGAGAGGGGUCUGACACACCCGUACGUACGGACCUGAGUGACAGAGACAAGUGGCACUGUAGCAGAUAAACGGUUAGACGUCACUAGCUGACAAAAGGAAAAGGGGAAAAACGUCUUCCUCUUCAUCUAAGCUUACACAACCGGAAAAGGAAUAGGAAGAACGUCUUCCUCUCCAUCUAAGCUUACACAACCACUGUAAAUUCUAUUUUCUGGAUCUUAGAACAUCACCAUCACCCCAUAGACAGACCACCCCCAUAGACAGACAUCCCCCUCUCAUUUCAACUUUGGAUCCUUAACUCAACAUUCCUCAAUUGAUUCUACAAGUACCAAAUUCUACUAAUGUUGUCAUUCUCCUCCAAUCCUUUUUAUUACUCCUCCUCACAACUUGUGGUGCAUUGGAGUUUUGGUGCUAUUGGCGUCAAAAUCUGUGGAGAUUGCCAUCCUCCAAGUAAAUUUACAUAUUGUCCCUCAACUUAAGGCAUCGUAGCAACAUGAUUUUUGAACUUCAAUUUGUAAGAUAAUUUCUUUUUACAUAGUAAAUUGCUUGCCUAUAAUGGUUGAUUUACAGGUUACAAGCUGACAUGGCUUGUCCUCUCUCUCUUCAUCUUCAUCUUCCUCAAUUUCAAUAUUGUUUUCCUCAUCUUCCUCACAAACAACAAAAUAGCAAGCUUGAUUUAUCAAAGUAUAUACCCUAUUCCACCAGCUUCAAAAACUUGUCAUUGUUUCCCGACUUCUUAGCAACUAAAAUCUCAUUGAGGAGAGAGAAGAAAAAAGAAAAGGGACGGCAAGCACAAGAUAUAGAAGUUGAUCAAUUGAUUCUUAUGUUUAUCAAUGAGCAUUGCCUUAGGUAACUUGACCAUUAACCUACCAAAAACCAAAACAAAUGGAAAAAAAUCCAUAAUUCUAUUGGAAAAUCCUCAAAAUAUCAUAAAUAGGAUUCUCAAUCAAAAAGUGAACCAACAAUGCAAAACCACCAUUUGAAGAUAAAAUCCUUGAGAGCAUCAAUUCUCCUACGCAAUAUAUCAUUCAAAUGGGAUAUAUUCGAGGAUCUUGCAUAUUAGAUGUUUAAACCAAAUGAAUGCAUCAAUUCAUUUUGAUCUUUCUAGUUCAAUUUGAUUCUCAAUUUCUCAUACAAGCACCAUAUAAGUGUUCCAAAUUGUUGUAAUAUCAUUUGAAAAAUCCAUUUUAGAGGAAAAAUGCAAAUGAAUUGUUGUAGAAAUUGUAUAUUAGGUCAAUAAAUAUGUGCAAACAUAGUUGAGGAACUCGAUGAAAUUAUAAGGGCAGUACCAUAAGUUCCUACCGGAAUAGCCUCCCCCCCUCCAUCGAUGCGAGUUAGUUUCACAAUAUACAUUCUCUCUAUUAAUUUUAGAUUGGACUUCUCUAUUACAAAUUGUUCACUUUAAUUAGACAUGUCUAUAAAUUAAUCAAAUAUUUUGAAAUUCAAAACAAAAUUAUAUUUGGCUUGUAGAUCCACAUACCCAACAUGGAAAAUUGUUGACUUGAACAAAGGAUUUAUCAACAGGCUUGACAUGAACCAACUCAAUUAAAUCUUGCUUGCAAGAUGGGCUGAACUUGGGAUUUAUUUAGUAAUAAGGCUGGGUAUGGUGUGUUAUGGUUAUCAAUUAAUCAACUUUCAUGUACUUGAUAAUAGACUUAUACAUGGAUUUGUCAAGCCACCAGCUUGACUUAAAUUAUCAAGUUUUUGGAUUUCUUUUCCUCUCCUUAAGACUCAACUUGAUCCUAUUGUCUGAAGCUUGCUAAGCGUGGUGUUACAGAUUCACGUUUAAUUAAGGCUUUGACAAACCCAAUCCAGUUUGAUAGAAAGUCAUAUAUAACUUUUAUAAUUUAUGAUGACAAUGAUUUCCACCAUUAAAUUAGAGAUCAUCAAUUUAUCUAAUGAUAGUUAUUGAAUAUUUACCUAAAUGAACCUUAGAGUACUAGAAAUAAAAAAAUAACAAUGAAGUUUUUUAAAAAUUAAAAUAAAAUAAAAUAAAAUAAAACAAAACUACCAUGAUCCUUUCCUAUCUUCCCCUAGGGAAAUAGGAAUAAAGUACUAGUAGCAUGGCUUAUGCCCAUAGGAAUACUUUGGAACAUUAUUUGAACCACUUUUUUUGCAUAUAAUAUUGGUAAAUUUUCAAUACUUUGUCUAAUUCACAUAUCUACAGAAUAACUACGCCAUGCAAUGCAUCAAAUAAGCACAAAGGGAGAACGGAACAAAGAAAACAAUAUUCACAAUACUCGCAUC